rnacentral:rRNA from 1 species
GACAGAGGUCCCGAGCGUUAGGCGGAAUCACUGGGCUUAAAGCGUGUGUAGGCGGAUCGUUAAGUGCCUUGUGAAAUCCCACGGCUUAACCGUGGAACUGCUUGGCAUACUGGCGGUCUUGAGCCACUUAGGGGCAACCGGAACAAAUGGUGGAGCGGUGAAAUGCGUAGAUAUCAUUUGGAACGCCAAUGGUGAAAACAGGUUGCUGGGAGUGAUGCUGACGCUGAGACACGAAAGCCAGGGGAGCGAACGGG